AGUGGCGGACGGGUGAGUAACGCGUGAGAAUCUGGCUUCAGGAGGGGGACAACAGUUGGAAACGACUGCUAAUACCCCAUAUGUCUACGGAUGAAACGGUGAAUUCCGCCUGAAGAUGAGCUCGCGUCGGAUUAGCUAGUUGGUGAGGUAAAGGCUCACCAAGGCGACGAUCCGUAGCUGGUCUGAGAGGAUGAUCAGCCACACUGGGACUGAGACACGGCCCAGACUCCUACGGGAGGCAGCAGUGGGGAAUUUUCCGCAAUGGGCGAAAGCCUGACGGAGCAACGCCGCGUGCGGGAAGACGGCCUGUGGGUUGUAAACCGCUUUUGACAGGGAAGAAGCUCUGACGGUACCUGUCGAAUCAGCAUCGGCUAACUCCGUGCCAGCAGCCGCGGUAAUACGGAGGAUGCAAGCGUUAUCCGGAAUUAUUGGGCGUAAAGCGUCCGUAGGUGGUUAAGUAAGUCUGCUGUUAAAGCGUGGAGCUUAACUCCAUAUCGGCAGUGGAAACUACUUGACUUGAGUGCGGUAGGGGUCAGGGGAAUUCCCAGUGUAGCGGUGAAAUGCGUAGAUAUUGGGAAGAACACCGGUGGCGAAAGCGCCUGACUGGGCCUGCACUGACACUGAGGGACGAAAGCUAGGGGAGCGAAAGGGAUUAGAUACCCCUGUAGUCUUAGCUGUAAACGAUGGGCACUAGGCGUUG
rnacentral:rRNA from 1 species